ACAUCCCUCAUUGCUGCAAACGCUAACUAUCGGACAGGCUUAGAUCAAGUGUAGUAUCUGUUCUUUUCAGUUUAAUCUCUGAAACGGCUCUCCGGAGCCUGUUCUUUUGGUUAAUCUUAUUUUUGUUUACUUGGGGGAUCCUGCCUCUGGCCUGCCAUGCUUGAUCCCCACUGUGUCACCGGUAUUGCACCGUCUCCGGUUGAUGCGAAUGGUU
rnacentral:snRNA from 1 species